UGAAAAAGUACCAAUUUUAUUGCUGUUUUAAAUGUCUCAUAAAUUGAAAAAUACGAUUAACUGAUCCAAUUUUUUGGAUGCAUUUUAUUCAGUAGGGUUUUUACUACGUGUUCUGUAAUGCGAACGGUAUCUAGUGGUUGGCGAUGUCUUCUACUUUUAGAUGUAGUACUGAGUGCCG